UGGGCGAGCGAAAGCUUUUGAGUUCCAAAAAUUGGCCGCUCUCAGACAGUCUGAUCUUCGUUUGGAAAAUCAUUGAAGAGAAUGCUGAACCUCUCUCUACCUCCUCCUCCGUCUUCAGGCCUGGCCAUCCAAAACCCAAAACCCUGCUCCAUCACCCACUCUCUCUCCUCCGGCACCUCCUUGACCGCCACUCGCUUAAACCCUUAUAGGCCCAGAACCCGAACCCAAAGCCUCUCCUUGAAAUGCCGCCACUACGACCAUUUCGAAUCCCAACCUCAAACGCCAGAACAGCAGAGGUCUGCUUCUUUCUCUUCGGGUGGGGGUGUGCCGCCUAGGGUUUUCGUGGGUCACUCGAUUUACAAAGGAAAGGCCGCUCUCACGGUGGAGCCUCGGCCGCCUGAGUUCGUGCCUUUAGAGUCUGGAGCGUUCAAGCUGGCCCGGGAAGGUUACGUGUUGCUUCAGUUUGCUCCUGCAGCUGGUAUUCGUCAAUAUGAUUGGAGCAGGAAGCAGGUAUUCUCUUUGUCAGUUACUGAAAUCGGAACUCUAAUUAGCCUUGGAGCACGUGAGUCAUGUGACUUCUUUCAUGAUCCUUUCAAAGGAAAAAGUGAUGAAGGUAAAGUGAGGAAGGUCUUGAAGGUAGAACCUCUUCCCGAUGGCUCUGGUCACUUUUUCAAUCUCAGUGUUCAAAACAAGCUGACAAAUGUGGACGACAGCAUUUAUAUCCCGAUUACAAAAGCAGAGUACACGGUUCUAACCUCAGCCUUCAAUUUUGUUGUGCCAUAUCUAUUAGGCUGGCACACCUUUGCCGGUUCCAUAAGGGCAGAAGAUAUUAAUCACAGGUCUGGUGCAGACUUUGAAUGGAGCAGGUAGAGUAGGAUAUUCGCUGUAAUGUUCACUGGAGCUUGGCAUAGAGGAUGUUGGCCCUUUUGAUUAUGUUGGCCUUUCAUUUUAGCUUGGCAUUCCUGUACUCUACAAAAUUUCAAGAUACAUGGGAACAAAGGUUAGAGGUGAGAUGCGGCAAAUCCAAAUAAAGUAGGUAAUUUAAGGGAAUCGUCAACAGCUACAGUUUGUACGUGAACAACCCCCCACAAUCCACAAAGGCCACGACAAGAGUUGAAUUUAUGAAGAUAACGCGAAUAUUACGAUUGGAUAGGGGGAUACAGUUCCAAAUUCCAAUUCCAGUUCCAAGUUGGUACAAACAGGCAGGAAUUGUUCUUCUUGCAAGGGGGGCUGGCUAAAUGCAUAUAUAGCAUAGGCUUGAGAUGCCAUUACCUGCCUCGACUGCUGCUUGUGUACAAUACAUACUUACAUAUAUAUAAAUAUAUAUUCCUUA